UACGGAGGGUGCAAGCGUUAAUCGGAAUUACUGGGCGUAAAGCGCACGUAGGUGGUUUUGUAAGUCGCAUGUGAAAGCCCCGGGCUUAACCUGGGAAUUGCAUGUGAUACUGCAUGACUAGAGUAUGUUAGAGGGAAGUGGAAUUCCGGGUGUAGCGGUGAAAUGCGUAGAUAUCCGGAGGAACACCAAUGGCGAAGGCAACUUCCUGGGACAAUACUGACACUGAGGUGCGAAAGCGUGGGGAGCAAACAGG
rnacentral:misc_RNA from 1 species